rnacentral:rRNA from 1 species
CAAUAGCGUAUAUUAAAGUUGUUGCAGUUAAAAAGCUCGUAGUUGGAUUUGUGGCGUACGGUGUGUUCCGGGCACUUGUUGUCUGAGUAACCUGCUGUUGCCAUCCUUGGGUGGAACCUGUGUGGCAUUAGGUUGUCGUGCAGGGGAUGCCCAUCAUUUACUGUGAAAAAAUUAGAGUGUUCAAAGCAGGCUUAUGCCGUUGAAUAUAUUAGCAUGGAAUAAUGAGAUAGGACUUUUUUGCUAUUUUGUUGGUUUGCGCAAAGAGGUAAUGAUUAAUAGGGACAGUUGGGGGUAUUCGUAUUCCAUUGUCAGAGGUGAAAUUCUUGGAUUUUUGGAAGACGAACUACUGCGAAAGCAUUUACCAAGGAUAUUUUCAUUAA